UGGGGAAUAUUGGACAAUGGGGGCAACCCUGAUCCAGCAAUGCCGCGUGUGUGAAGAAGGCCUUCGGGUUGUAAAGCACUUUUAUCCGGAACGAAACGCGCUUGGUGAAUAUCCAGGCGAACUGACGGUACCGGAGGAAUAAGCACCGGCUAACUUCGUGCCAGCAGCCGCGGUAAUACGAAGGGUGCAAGCGUUACUCGGAAUUACUGGGCGUAAAGCGUGCGUAGGUGGUUUUUUAAGUCCGUUGUGAAAGCCCUGGGCUCAACCUGGGAAUGGCAGUGGAUACUGGAAAGCUAGAGUGCGGUAGAGGGUAGUGGAAUUCCCGGUGUAGCAGUGAAAUGCGUAGAGAUCGGGAGGAACACCAGUGGCGAAGGCGGCUACCUGGACCAGCACUGACACUGAGGCACGAAAGCGUGGGGAGCAAACAGGAUUAGAUACCCCCGUAGUC
rnacentral:rRNA from 1 species